rnacentral:lncRNA from 1 species
CUCUACAGUCUUGUAGUAGUUCAAAAGUUCAACUCCUAAACAUGCUCUUUUCCCAUGGUUGGUAAUUUCGUGCUUGCUGUAUUGUAUCGAGUGGCGCACUUUACCAGUAAUAUAUAUUUGAGUUACUAUUUUUUUUUUUUUUAACAAACUUAUGAGUUACUGUACUAUUUAUAUUUAAGUAUAUAAGACAAUGUUUUACCAUCGAACUGAUAAGUUUUUUACAAUUCAAAAAAACAAAAAAUUGCAAAAAUGUAUUUACUAGUUUGCAUACAUAGUUAACGUGCUCUAACCAUCUAAGUCAUGAUGGUUUUAUUACUUUUUCUUCAUCGCGCUAUCAUUAGCUCGGUUCAAUAUGGAACAUUUCCAUCACAAAUAUCGACACGACUAUCAUCAUAUCAUGACACCCAGUUAUGUAUGAAAUGUAUAAAAC